rnacentral:rRNA from 1 species
CUACGGGGUGCUCCAGUGAGGAAUAUUGCACAAUGGGGGGAACCCUGAUGCAGCAACGCCGCGUGGAGGAUGACGCAUUUCGGUGUGUAAACUCCUUUUAUAUGUCAAGAAAAUGACGGUAGCAUAUGAAUAAGCACCGGCUAACUCCGUGCCAGCAGCCGCGGUACAUACGGAGGGUGCAAGCGUUACUCGGAAUCACUGGGCGUAAAGGACGCGUAGGCGGGUUGGAAAGUCAGGUGUGAAAUCCUACAGCUUAACUGUAGAACUGCACUUGAAACUUCUAAUCUAGAGUAUGGGAGGGGGAGAUGGAAUUAGUGGUGUAGGGGUAACAUCCGUAGAUAUCACUAGGAAUACCUAAAGCGAAGGCGAUCUCCUGGAACAUUACUGACGCUAAGGCGUGAAAGCGUGGGGAGCAAACAGGAUUAGAUACCCUAGUAGUC